rnacentral:rRNA from 1 species
GACGAACGCUGGCGGCGUGCUUAACACAUGCAAGUCGAACGGAAAGGCCCUGCUUUUGUGGGGUGCUCGAGUGGCGAACGGGUGAGUAACACGUGAGUAACCUGCCCUUGACUUUGGGAUAACUUCAGGAAACUGGGGCUAAUACCGGAUAGGAGCUCCUGCUGCAUGGUGGGGGUUGGAAAGUUUCGGCGGUUGGGGAUGGACUCGCGGCUUAUCAGCUUGUUGGUGGGGUAGUGGCUUACCAAGGCUUUGACGGGUAGCCGGCCUGAGAGGGUGACCGGCCACAUUGGGACAGAGAUACGGCACAGACUCCUACGGGAGGCAGCAGUGGGGAAUAUUGCAAAAGGGGCGGAAGCCUGAUGCAGCAACGCCGCGUGAGGGAUGACGGACGUCGGGUUGGAAACCGGGUUAGCCUGUGACGAAGCGUGAGAGAAGGUAAUGGGUAAAGAAGCACAGGCUAACUAAGUG